rnacentral:rRNA from 1 species
GACGAACGCUGGCGGCGUGCUUAACACAUGCAAGUCGAUCGAUGAAGCCCAGCUUGCUGGGUGGAAGAGUGGCGAACGGGUGAGUAACACGUGAGUAACCUGCCCUGAACUCUGGGAUAAGCACUGGAAACGGUGUCUAAUACUGGAUACGACCUAUCACCGCAUGGUGUGUGGGUGGAAAGAUUUAUCGGUUCUGGAUGGACUCGCGGCCUAUCAGCUAGAUGGUGAGGUAAUGGCUCACCAUGGCGACGACGGGUAGCCGGCCUGAGAGGGUGACCGGCCACACUGGGACUGAGACACGGCCCAGACUCCUACGGGAGGCAGCAGUGGGGAAUAUUGCACAAUGGGCGCAAGCCUGAUGCAGCAACGCCGCGUGAGGGAUGACGGCCUUCGGGUUGUAAACCUCUUUUAGUAGGGAAGAAGCGAAAGUGACGGUACCUGCAGAAAAAGCACCGGCUAACUACGUG